GUACUCACAUAAAAUAAACAAAUCUUUAGAAUCCACCCGAAACUGAUAGGACCACCCUCGCUCAUGAUAACUGCAGCUAGCCAGCCUUCACACUUGUCACUCACCGGCCUCAGCACUCGGCGCACCUCGCGCAGAAUCUUUUCUUGGUUGUUCACCGAGCACAGCACCAGGGUGCAGAUCACCACGUCCACAGAGCCAUCGGCCACCUGGUGCAUGUUCUCCCCGGCCGCCACCACGAAGCGCUCGAACUGCAGAUGCCUGUUCUCUGCGACGCUAUUGAACAGAAACUUCUCGAAGUUGGGGUUGGGGUCGAUACAAAUGACCCUGCAUCCGGGGGGAUAGAACUUGAAGUUGGCCCCGGUGCCACAGCCCACCUCCAGCAGCGACAGCUUCCCCGAGGGGCCCGCGAACUCCUGCAGGUUGCUGAAGAGCUCCUGCUUUCGGCUCGCCAUCUCCGUGUUGUACAUCACCGUUAAGCGUUUCAAAUGGUUAUUCAGCUGAUAGGACAGCACGAAUCCUCAGAUGAAACUGCAUCAGACACAACUGAAGAUGGGGAAAACUAAACUGCUUUAAAUUUCUAUACCAAUUUACAACCCCCCAGAUUCUACUAGGCAAAGUUAGUGGCUGUUGAAAUACCACCAGGACAGGACUGUCUGAAGACAUUUGGUCGUGUAGGAACUACAUACAAAAAAGACUCUGUGUAGUUUAAAAACAAAAUGAAACAAAACAAAACAAACAACAAAAAACCUUCCAUGGCCUUACAUUGCAUUUCUAUUGUUUAAAAGGAGUGAGUUGUGUACAGGGGACUUAAAUGCUUUGUAGACAAGGAAAAAGCUGUGCUAGAACCAACAUCAUCACCACCACCACCAGAAGCAGCAGCAGCUUCGGCUUCCUCCUCUUCCUGAGCUUCCUGACCCUCUUCCUCCUCCUCCUUGUCUUCCCCUUUCCUCCUUCUCUUGCUCCUUUCAGUGGUGACCACCCCCUUUCCCUCUGCCUCAGGUUGGUUCUGUAGGCAGCGUUUCCUUUCCUAUUUUCCCUUCAGCCUGGCAGGCCCCUUUCACAGGGCCUUGGAUCCUUCAACUUCUUGGUCUCCUCUUUGCUACAAUGUAGGUCUUCGUUUCUCUUUCAUAAUGAGCCUUGUGUCUUCAGAUUUCUCCUUUUCUUCGGCAAACAUAGUCCCCGCCUGUCUGAGCUCAGUGAGAACCUGAGGAGCUGAGGCGCUGGCAGAAACAUCCAGGUGUCGCCUCUUCUCCACCCGGCAAGUUUGCACAAAGAUUCCUAUGAGGACAUUUUGUCUCUUGGCUGCUUUGGCCUUGUUCAGUGGAUUUUCCUCCAUAAGACACAGGGUCACCCAGUGCCCGACCGGCUCUUACCCCCACCCCCACCCCGGCUGUCUCUAUGGAGCUCAGUGAACCACAGUGGCUGUGAGAAUGAGAGCCAGCUAUUGGCCUACUGCCGAGCUCGGUACCGCUGGCAGCGCCGGCGCUGUCAAGUGGAGGUUCCACCGAGAUCAGGAAAGAGAGGAGAACCUACAGGACGUUCCUGGAAGGAGCUGGCUGGACUGGUUCAGAGAGUGGAAUGUAUUGGAGAAGUGGCGCUACGAGAGUGUCGGCUUUGAUCGUGCCAUGGAAUUGUGAGUUCCUUUCUACGUGUAUUGACACAGGAUGAUGCAGAUGCUGAAAGUCCUGUUUGGAUUCCUGAGCGUUGUGUGCGCCCUGUCACUACGCAGCCUCAUCCUGUCACUACGCAGCCUCACCCAAGUGGAGAGCUACUGGAACAUUGUGGCGAACCACCCAAUUUGGAUGUCAUUGGGGAUAAGCAGCUUGAUUUGACUGGUGAUAGCUCCCACCAAGACUACUGGAAAAACUGCUGCUAAUUCUAAUAAACCAACAAUUUCUUUAUGUUAA